rnacentral:lncRNA from 1 species
UCCUGUUGGAGCAUUAGACGCAGGUGGCUGCGAUGACGGUGACGUGGAGGGGGAAGUUCCCGGAGCCGGUGACAGCCCAGUUGGAGCAUUAGCCGCAGGUGGUUGUGAUGACGGUGACGUGGAGGGGGAAGUUCCCGGAGCCGGUGACAGCCCAGUUGGAGCAUUAGCCGCAGGUGAUUGGGAUGAUGAUGGUGACGUAGAAGGUGAAGUUGCCGGCACCGGAGAGUACCCUUUUGGAGGAUAAGGCGAAGGCGCAUGAGAUGACGGUGACGUGGAAGGUGAAGUCGCCGGCACCGGAGAGUAUCCUUUUGGAGGAUAAGGCGAAGACGUGGAAGGUGAAGUUGCCGGCGUCGGAGAGGACCCUUUAGGAGGAUUAGCCGAAGGUGCAUGAGAUGUUGGUGAGGUGGAGGGGGAAGUCGCCGGCGGCUGUGUGGCCGGAGAAGGAGACUUAGGAGACGGGGCAUGCGGUGGCGGUUUCGUGGUGGGGGGUCCAGUUGAGGGAGCGGGGGGCCUUUCAUGCAAAACGACGACGAUUAAUUU